UACGUAGGGGGCAAGCGUUGUCCGGAUUUAUUGGGCGUAAAGAGCGUGUAGGCGGCCAGAUAGGUCCGUUGUGAAAACUGGAGGCUUAACCUCCAGCGGUCGAUGGAAACCAUCUGGCUAGAGUCCGGAAGAGGAGAGUGGAAUUCCUGGUGUAGCGGUGAAAUGCGUAGAUAUCGUAAGGAAGACCAGUGGCGAAGGCGGGUCUCUGGACAGUUCCUGACGCUGAGGCACGAAGGCCAGGGGAGCAAACGGG
rnacentral:rRNA from 1 species